AAAAAAUGUCUGUAGAAAUUACAGUAAAAAACUGUAAAAUAGCAACAGUAAAAGACUGUAAAAUCCAAAAUAGUAUAUGCCCGUAAUUGUUACAUUGAAUAACUGUAAAUCAAGAAACAGUAUAUAGCUAUAAUUUUUACGGUUCUAACAUGUAGAAAUAACACAGUUUUACUGUGAAAACACAAAAUAUUGAUAAAUUAACGGGAAAAUCCAGUAAUAUUACAAGCAAGUAAUUACUGCAAAAUUAACAGUAUAAUUCUGUUUAAUUUACAGAUUUUGCUGAUGUGUAUUUUCAAAUUUACGGUAUAAAACCAUUAAUGAUCAAGCAAAAACUCGCCUUCAUUUAUGAAGAAAAACGAUGUAAAAAAUACGGUAUAUAUUUGUUAUAGAAUAUCACAGUUAAAAGGAAAUCUGUAUAAUUUACGGUGAAAUACCAGCAGCUAUUGUUGCCAGAAUUUCACCGUAAAAAUUACGGUGACAGUGUAAAAGUUAUGACAGUACUGGGAAAAAAUCUGUAUAAAAUUUAUGGUGAAAUAUGACAGCUGUGGUUGCCAGAAUUUCGCUGUAAAAAUAACGGUGACAGUGUAAAUGACUACUGGGGAAAAAAUCUGUAUAAUUUACAUAAAAUACGGGCAGGUGUAGCUGUCAGUAUUUGUGAAAUUUCUCUCCCUCCUGCACAAUCAACUGUAAGUGGUAUUCAAGCAAAUUGGAAGUGUUUAGGAACAACAGCAGCUCAAUCAGGAAGUGGUAGAUCACUUACAGCUGAUCUUGGAAUAUUUUCAAGAGUAGAAAUUUCACAAACUGACUUGUUGCAACGGUGGCAUCCCACUGCAGCACCACGCUCACAUUCAGUGAACUCUGAGAGAGAGAGUGAGAGAGAGAGAGAGAGAGAGAGAGAGAGAGUGAGAGAGUGAGAGAGUGAGAGAGAGAGAGAGAGAGAGAGAGAGAGAGAGAGAGAGAGACACACACCUGCGCGCGCGUGAGAGCGUCUCCAACGGAAAUUCAAAAUUUGACCGGGUCACGCAGUUGCAUUAGUCGCGCGUUUUCUGCGCUCAACGCAGCUUUGGUGGGGACAGACCAACAGGUCCAAAUUUCUGGGGAAAACUCUGGUCUUGAGAGGGGAUCGUGCCAAGCCACAAUGCACACCUGACUGACAACUUGUGAAUCUUCAAGCUAAACUGAUGACAGCACAUCCUCAAAGUUCCAGUUUGCUGAACAUUGAACAUCUGUCCUACCUGUGUUUAGUCAAGUCUGGACCCUGGACCUCAAUCUUGUCAAGGGAAAUUAGAGAGAGAAUCAUGCCAGCAGACAUCUGAUGGCCAACAGUGAAUCUUCAACCAAAGCCAGUGGUUCCAGUUCCAGUUCCAGUUCCAGCAUUGUGUGUGAUAUGAUCCCAUUCUGAGCCUCCUGUUCAGUUAAGUCUGAACUCAAUGAAUUAUUAAUCUUAACCAGGCAAGUGACUAUGUUUUUGCAUGAACUAUUUCUCAUGUGAUCACAUGCUGUUUUUUCCCCAAUAUCUAAACACUGCCUUGUUGCUGUAGUGGAUAAGUUGUUGUAUUUCAGAGAAUGCUUAAAACAAUUUCUUAAAGUUUAUUAAUGAUAAUAUGUUUAAUUUGUUAUUUCCUUUGUAAUUUACCUUUAGCAGUUUUUGACUGUAAAAUCUGUGCCAACCAACUUUAUUAUCUGAUGUGUUGUAUUUCUUGCAAUGACAUUAUGGUGACCACAGCUGCUGGUAAUUCACUGUAAAGUUGAACUUAGUAAUAAAGUACCGUAAUACCUCA